AUUGAACGCUAGCGGCAUGCCUUACACAUGCAAGUCGAACGGCAGCGGGGGAGCCUGCUCCCGCCGGCGAGUGGCGAACGGGUGAGUAAUACAUCGGAACGUACCCAGUAGCGGGGGAUAGCCCGGCGAAAGCCGGAUUAAUACCGCAUACGCCCUACGGGGGAAAGGGGGGGAUCGCAAGACCUCCCCCCAUUGGAUGGGCCGCUGGCUGAUUAGCUAGUUGGUGGGGUAAAGGCCUACCAAGGCGACGAUCAGGAGCUGGUCUGAGAGGACGACCAGCCACACUGGGACUGAGACACGGCCCAGACUCCUACGGGAGGCAGCAGUGGGGAAUUUUGGACAAUGGGCGAAAGCCUGAUCCAGCAAUGCCGCGUGUGCGAAGAAGGCCUUCGGGUUGUAAAGCACUUUUGUCGGGGAAGAAAUCGUUUGGGUUAAUACCCCGAGCAGUUGACGGUACCUGAAGAAUAAGCACCGGCUAACUACGUGCCAGCCGCCGCCGUAA
rnacentral:rRNA from 1 species